GACGAACGCUGGCGGCGUGCUUAACACAUGUAAGUCGAACGGAAAGGCCCUGCUUUUGUGGGGUGCUCGAGUGGCGAACGGGUGAGUAACACGUGAGUAACCUGCCCUUGACUUUGGGAUAACUUCAGGAAGCUGGGGCUAAUCCCGGAUAGGAGCUCCUGCUGCUUGGUGGGGGUUGGAAAGUUUCGGCGGUUGGGGAUGGACUCGCGGAUUAUCAGCUUGUUGGUGGGGUGGUGGCUUAGCAAGGCUUUGACGGGUAGCCGGCCUGGGCGGGUAAGCGGCCACACUGGGACUGAGAUACGACCCGGACCAGUAUGCGACGGAGCGGAGGGGAAGAUAGCACAAGGGGCGGAAGCAUGAUGCAACAACGCCGCGCGCGGUAUGACGGGCUUCGGUUUGUAAACCGCUGUCGCCUUAGACGAAGCGUUAGUGACGGUAACGGGUAAAUAAGCACCGGCUAACUACGUG
rnacentral:rRNA from 1 species